CGAGAGGCUUCCGCAAUGGGGGAAACCUUGACGGAGCGACGCCGCGUGCGGGAUGAAGGCUUUCGGGUUGUAAACCGCUUUCAGGUGGGAAGAAAUGCCGGCGAGUGAAUAAUUCUCCGGCCUCGCCGGUACCACCAGAAGAAGCUCCGGCUAACUCCGUGCCAGCAGCCGCGGUAAAACGGGGGGGGCGAGCGUUGUUCGGAAUUACUGGGCGUAAAGGGCGCGUAGGCGGCCUGAGAAGUUCUGGGUGAAAGUCCUCGGCUCAACCGGGGAAUUGCCUGGAAAACCAUCGGGCUGGAGUGCUGGAGAGGCCGGCGGAAUUCCUGGUGUAGCGGUGAAAUGCGUAGAUAUCAGGAGGAACACCCGAGGCGAAGGCGGCCGGCUGGACAGACACUGACGCUGAGGCGCGAAAGCCAGGGGAGCAA
rnacentral:rRNA from 1 species